AUGGCGACUAGAGACGGGUCUCGCGACCACGGCGCCGGAGGCGGCCGGCGUGUCGGAGGACGCUUCUGGGCGCUAUUGGAGAGUGACGAGGAGGAGGAUGCUGACGAUGGCCUGCAUCUGGACGUCGGCUCGCCGGCGACGGCGUCCCCUACGCCUUCAGAUCAUAUUUGCGAGGCGUUUCAGAGUGGAUAUUCGGAGGAGGAAGUUGCGCGGCUGGUAGAUGAGGUGAUCCCGCAGGAUGAUCCGGCGAGGAUUGGACUGGAGAAGACGGAGAGGAUCGAGAUCGCUCGGCGCGUCGUGCACCGGAGGACGGCGGCAACGGCGAUCCGGCCAUGGCGUGGUCCUCUUCCAAAGGUUGUAUUCCGAGCUACGGCGUUGAUCCGUAUGUGGUCCCUACUCACUCCGACGGAGGCCAGGGAGCGUUUGGUUACUGGAUCUGUCCGGUGGGAGAUGGUAGCGCGGGAUAUAUUCAACCGGUUUGGAUGGCGGUCAUGUAAUAGGAUUGGCAAUUAG
rnacentral:rRNA from 1 species